AAGCAGUGGUAUCAGUGCAGAGUGUGGGCAGCUAUUGGAACUCUGUAAUUCCAGGCCAGAACUUGGCACUUAGAAGUGCCCUGUUGGUUGGCAAAACCAAAAUUCAGUUUGGGAUUAGUUAGGAGAAAUACUUGAGCACCAAAAGCCCAGACUAGGACUUCAGGAGAGUCAUCUUUGCAAAACCUUCCUGCUGGAAUCUCAGGUUAAAACUAUACCUCCCUCAGGUCGGGAAUUCAAAGCAGAAGGUUGCUUUGGAGAAGGCAGGUCAUUGUCCCUCCAAGGAGGUGCAAGCCUGGGCUGCUCUUGCAUCUCAGGGAGAAUUAGUUCAUCACAAGUGUCCUGCUGCUUUGGGGAUUCUCAGGCAGCAGAAACUUGCGCCAGCUCUUUUUAACAUGCAAAUGACCACUGGGCUUACAUGGAGUCCUGCUCUGCCAUGGAAGCAGGAGUUGGGCUGUAAUCACAGGAGAUCCUGCUCUUCAUU